UGGAAACUCGCCGUUCACAUUCCAGUUUUCGCGAUUUUUCAGGUUUUCGCGACGGUUUUCUCGCGGCGAAAAUACGUUGCGCGUGCGUGUUUAUCCCCAUAGAAGAGGGGAAAAGUGUUUUGUGCGAUGAAGAAACGCCCAAACAAGACAAAAAUUUGUAAAAAGUCCCCGCUGAAGAGGGUGAAAACUAAGUCAAUGGCACCGAACAAGGCGAAGUGAUGUGUUUUCGGUUGUUUGCCUUCUGUUUCCAAGUGCCAGUGAGUGGGUGUUUUUCCAAAAGGCGCGGAAUUCUAUUCCGCAAAAAAUUAAACUUUACACCGUCACGACUGAUUAUGGAACAGAAAGCAAAACUUCAACGGAACGAUUUAUUACUCCGCCACUAGUGCGGAGCACGCAAAACGUUAACGAAAGUAAUGAAGAACCUUCUAACAGCAGUGUAAGUCUCCCUUUUUACUAUUCACUAGAAGAAGGUAGAGCAACGCAUAAAUGGACCGACAGUCCAAAUGUAAUCCGGCGGUCGCCUUUGAAAUAUUUCCAAAUGAACAAUCCGUUCAAAUGCAGGCCGCCGGUUCAAAAUUGUACUAGUUUAGGCUGGUUUGAGAAGAUUAGCUGGCCAAACACCAAGAUUUUUCCCGGUAGGAUCAACCAACUCGUAAGACGAAGACCCCUUUUUGGCGAGAACUUUCGCCGAUCACCCUCCCCGGAAAUCCCCUGAUGCCAUUUCGCAACCAUGGACGACGAAAUGAGGACUAAACCCGGUAGAAGAAUGAACCGUAGUAUUUAGGAUGCGCUCCACAUCAGAAAUGCGGGCAUCCCAGUUGCGCUGGUCCGUGCGGGCGUACGCGCGAAUUGCCGUAUUUAUAGAACAAUUCGUUCGUUCUACCGGGGAUCGGCUGAAUUCUCUGGAGAUGAACGUCGAACCAUUAUCGCUCAACAGGAUUUCCGGACUUCCAUAGCGGUUGAACCAUUGUUCGCGAAGGGUCGCACAAAGUGAGGCGCUGCAAAUUUUGCGAACGGGGGUCAACAUUACGUACUUGCUGAAGACGUCGAGGACGACUAGCAAGUGUUGAUUGCCCCGUUUGCUUCGAGGAAGUGGGCCUAUAUAGUCCACCGAAAUCAUCUGCCACGGUGCACCGGUCGUGCGUGACUGACCCAUUUCCGGUUGGACUGAGGUAAAUGGUGCUUUUAUCUCUUUGCAGGUCCCACAUUGGCGAAUAUAUUCGCGAACUUCUGGUCCCAUACGAGGCCAAAAAUAGCGUUUUUGAACCUCGUGAAUCGUUUCAUCGUAACCCACAUGAAGCAAUUUAUCGUGGGUACGUUGCACGAUUUCUUCUCGACACUCGGGAGUUGGGACCAAUUUCCAACUAAACCGAGAGUCGAAUGGUACACUUUUCGAGGCCACGUAUUUGAAAGGUUUACCAUCUUCGACUUUAAAGUCAGGGUAAUCAUCAGAAUUAUCUGAAACUUUAGACUUCAUGAAACAAUACCAGUCUGAAGUGGACAUUGCCGAAAUGGCUGCUACAGCCCAGGAUAAGGCAUCCGGAACGACAUUGUCCUUACCUUUCCGGUACUCAAUGGACAUGUCGUAGAGUUGUAGUUCCAAACUCCACCGACUCAGGCGCGAACUGGUCUUCCAAUUGGUCUUCAGUAUCCAGGUAAUGGCUGAUGAAUCAGUGACAAGUCGAAAAUGAUAACCUUCCAAGUAACCUCGGAAGUGUUCAACCGCCAUAAUCAUCGCCAGACCUCCCUUUUCGGUAGCGUGGUAAUUCCGUUGGGGAGUGGUUAGCUUAUGUGAAAAAUAAGCUACCACUUUUUCCCCCUCUGGAUGUUGUUGCACCAGAACAGCCGCGACAGCAGUGUCACUGGCAUCUGUCUGCAGAAUAAAUUCCUUUGAAAAAUCUAGCGGGACAAGCACUGGAGGAGUGACUAAAAGUUCCUUUACCUUCAGAAACGCGAGUUCUGCUUCGGAGUUCCAGCCAAUAUUCUUGGCCUUUGUUUUCAAGAGGUCGGUCAAAGGUGCGGUUACCUCACUAAACCGAUCAAUGAAACGCCGGUAGUAACCACACAUUCCAAGGAAUCGGCGCAGUUUAGUAACCGUCACCGGCCGCUCGUUACCGAGUAUCGGCUGAAUUUUGUCAGGAUUGACCUUUAAACCUUCCUGAUUCAACAAAUAGCCAAGAAAUUUUAACUCUGGAACCCCAAAACGGGAUUUAGCCAGGUUUAUCGUCAGAUUGGCUUUGGAUAGACAUUUGGCCACCUCUUUGAGUAAUUGUAGGUGAUGCUCGAACGUUUCGCUUACCACGAUGAUAUCAUCGAGGUAAACGAAGACGUACGGUUCCAGUUUUCCUCGUCCUAACACCUGUUCCAUCAGACGUGCCAAAGUGGCAGGGCUGUUAACGAGACCGAAGGGUAGACGAGUAAAUUGGAACAUACCCCUGCAGGGCACACUGAAAGCAGUAAACUUACGACUGCCCUUAGCCAACGGAACCUGGAGAAAAGCCUCCUUUAAGUCUAUUGUAGACAGGUCCUUGGCUUUAGGCAGGCUUCCUAAAAUGCGCCCGGGAGCAGAGGGGCAGAGGGUAUGCAUCACGUACUGUACGCUUAUUGAGAGGCCGGGCAUCUAGAUAAAGCCGAAUAGAGUCGUCUGGUUUGGUCACAGCGACAAUAUUCAAAGACCAAUCGGAAUCUGACUCUUCAAUAAUACCCAUAGAACGCCAACGGUCGACUCCUUCCCAGACUUUAGACAGUUUUCUUGGGGUCAUUUUAUAAGGAUAUCGGCAAACAGGCGCGGCACUUUGGAAUUCUUCCUUAAUUACGAUCCUGUGCUCUGUUAGCGAGGUCGUAUUCAAUUUUCCGGGCACUACCGCCUGAAAACAGGUCGUAACCUGUUCGAUAUAGGCCAUCUGUUCCGGAGUAAGUAUAGACUCCCAAGGAACAAUUUGGAAGCCUUUAUGAAAGCAAAUGUGGAAUAAGAGCAGUGUAGAUGCAACCGGUGCUGAAUAAACAACGCGUUGAAUUAUUUGUUGUACAAACGUUGCCGCAUUCUUUGUUCAUAUAUUAAUCCAAUAGUGGAACUCCAGCUUAACAGAAGUUGUUCAAACGUUUGCAAGAGAUUAUUGGCAACACUAAUAAAUAUGUGCUGCGUUAAAGCGCUUUGAAGGUCUCCGCUCAUCAGUGGCGUUCUCGCCUAAUAAGAGCGAUUUGAAUAUUUCAAACGGCUACUUGGCGACUGUUAUUCUGCACGUGUUGUUCAAAUGCUGCAUAUAUGCAUUUGAAGUUUUUCAAGGAACGAUUCUUUAGCUCUUAUAGACGCGAACAUUAGAUUACCGGUUUUAUGCAACAUCCUUCUAAUCGCUUCGUAUAGUUAGUUUAACGCAGUAUAAACGUUAUUUCCAAACCACUAAAAGAUUCGGCAACUUAUUUUCUUUCAAAGUCGUUAGUGUUCCCCCUAAAGUUUUUUUUUAUUCCAAAAAAUUAAAAAAAAAAUGACGAUGUUAUAGCCAUAUCAUGAAAGCCAAUUCAUGAAUCAACUCCAGCAAGCCAUUUCGGGAACAAAUUUCCCAUGGGGCUUUUCUAGAGUAAUCAUUCAGUAAACAAAACAAGGACCAUAUUGGAGGUAUAUCACCAAAAACGCCCGAAACUAUGAAAACAGAUUGUCGAAGUAAUUUCAUAAACUAUGAACCAAUAAGUGUGAGAUUCCUUUCAAAAAAUCAUAGAACUCCUUUGUUUCGGAAUAUACCCACGGGAAACCCGGACGCUGAAUCUUUUAGUGCUAAAACUAUUUAAAUCGGAUAAAAAUUGCAAACGUUACAAGAAUUUUAAUUUCUGGGUACACGGGUACUCCACUGGUCACGUUAGGAGUAAAAAAGUCCCUCAUGCUAGCCCCCCCUGCUGCUGUUUAAAAACUAAUAUCCAGAGUUGCCUUUCAACGAGUUCUGAGAUGUCACUAAUUUCUAUCACUAUAGAUUAAGGUGAAAAAAAUGAAAUAUUGUUUUUUGAAACCUGAAAAGGCACCCGGAUUCUCCGUCAAGCACACAACUUAAAUAAAUAAAUUGAGCAAACGGUUAGUCAACCGAGUUUGUUACGAUUAGGUACUUUAAAAUCAGGUUAUCAGGUUGGUUACAAGGUGGAUUAUUUCAAAUCAAAGCAUAAUCAGUAAAAACCAAUUAAAGAAACAUAAAUUUGUGUGCAUCUAAGAGCAAGCCCACCAGUGACUAAAUUGAAGUUUCUAAAGCUAGUUAGGCAACUCCCACCAUAACGCGGCAACCGCACCGGGCGUUGCUAUGUUGGUUUGGGAAAUAACAAUCCUCACCUCGGGUAGUAGCGAGUUAUUAAAUUUGGCAACGCGAUAGCAACGAGCCAAAUCGUUGCUAUUUGAUGAAAUGUCAAACUGUUGUUUUUUUGUGCUCGAUAGUGAAUGUUCGUAAUAAUAUUACGAAAAUGAUGAGUGUUUCGAAUGCGGACUCAAUUGGUCGGCUUCGGAAGACGAAGCGUUUUGCCUCGCUUGUUAAACACGUCGUAGGACGCAAGUGUCGGCGUGAACCACUACUCAAUUUUAUUUCCGAUUGACCUGAAAUUUUGGACAGGGUGUUUUUCCGGGCAGGUGAACAUUUUGUAUAGGUUUUUUAUUGAGAUGACCAUUUUGGUUGGCAUUUUGGUCUGCAACCUACACGAUGCGGAAAGCUCAAAUUCUCACAAAUCUGCUCGGGAGUAUUACCAACUAUUUUCUCGUUUCGUUCGGUCGUUUUAUAAAAAACCAUUUUCUCCUUUAACGCUGUUUCAAUCUUCAAAAAUAACCUAAGAUGCGUUCGAAAGCGGCGUUGGAAAUGGUCAUCGGUAUAGACCGGUGUUUCCGAUAAAAACAUUGUUAAAACGCUGGAUGGCACCUUCCUCCGCAUGGCAGUCAAUAUUUGGCUAUUUACUAGGCUGAGAGCCGCCCCGAAUCUUUCCAAAAACCAUUUUCUUAAUCGCGUAUAAGGAAAUUUGUUCUGCGAAAUCAUUUACUCCAUCACUAGAAUCAACCAAAUACUCGAAAACAAUUUACGCGUUCUAUAUUUAAGUUUUUUUUUUGGCGGCAAAUUUCAAAUAUUAAUAGCAAACUGUGGGAACCGAGACAGCAUGAAAUACAGAAUACAACUAAUGACAGUUCGCCAGCUUUCAGUAGAAUAGUCAUUUAAGCCAACGUUGCGGGACGUGCCCAGUUUUACGGAAUUACUUUAAAUAAACAUAUAAGGAUGAAAAAAUCCAUGUACGCACAAGUAAACAAAACCUGCAAAAGAAUUAUGUUAUCGAUAACUUGGGAAAACGGAAACAAAGUUAAAACAAAGUUUCGUGAAAUGGAGGGAACAUUUUAUGAAGUAGACAGAACGUAGCUCAUUCCGGAAACGAUUGACUGACGGAUAAGUUGGUUAUUACUAAAUCCGAAAAAGAUAUGCGAAAUACAUCACAAACAAACAUUUUGCCAACGCUGGCUAGUGACGGUCUCCAGAAAUUGGCAACUGCCGGUGUGAAAAAGAAAAAGUGGAAUUGGUAAUCUCCAUUAGCAACGACCGAUGCGAAAAUCGGUUGCUAUCCAAAAUAGCAACGGCCAGCGUUGUGAAAAUAGCAACUCAAAUGGCAACUCACCGGUGCGCUUGCUCUAACAGCGUUUUCAUGCCUUUGCUGUUAGCCCCAUACCCAGUUAAAUAUUCACUACAAUAAAUUCCAUCAGAAUCGUCUUUCUCGUUCAGCUUGGUUCCGGUGUUCCGUAACCGGUUGCAUCAUUGCAUUGAAUAAAGCUUGAAUCUAUAACACGAAAGAUAUCGAAUUUAAAUUUUUCUUUUGCAAUAAUACUGAGUACUAAGCGCCCUAUUGAAAAAAACGAGACUGAUUAAACAUUAAUUGAUGUGCGAUGAAAAAGUGUCUUUUAUUUAAAAAAAAAACAUUCCAUUUUCGUACAUUCACUAGAAAUACAUGGUGUUGAAUCUUUUUCUUAUGUCCUAAAUACAGAUUAACCGAUUACAGAUUAAGCUUGCUUUUGAAUAAACAAUAUAUAUAACUUAAAACUAUGCAGACAGUAGCCUAAUACACAAUCUCUUACACCUUUCUUUUUCGGUGUUGUCGUUUUGUUGUAGCUACAUUGUUCCAUCCUCUCCUCCCGCAUCAUCAGUAAUCAAUCCUCCAGCAACUAAAAAAACAGAUAGUUUAAUCAUAAAAUAUAUUUUCAAACAGUAAAUUGAAAGUAUACAGGCAUAGUGCGAUAAAUAUAUGAGUUUCUUAUGUCGUCUAAUUACUAGAAACCCUAAGCUUUGUUUGAAGAAUAAACUUUUGGUUUACAAACAAAUUUUCGCUUCGAACGCUUCGAAGGAUUCAGAAUUAAAUUCUGAAAAAGAUUUUAAAGCGUCAUCAUUGGUUUGGUACACUCGAAUUACGGACUUACUGGUAUCGAAAUGAUAGAAGCUAUGUCAAAUAAAACUAUUCCCAACAUUUGAUAAAAAUCGCUGCAAUCCCCAAAUGCUACAAUAAGCUUUCUUCAUAGUCAAUUAGUAAGCAACUAAAUUAGUUGUAAGAUUAGUUCUCUUUACUCGACAAGUAGGUUUAAAUCCAUACGAAUAACAAGCCCUAAUCGCCAAAGCAAAUAAAUGCUAACAAUUAUAAUUUCACAUCAAAAUAGUGUUGAUUGAUUAGCCACGCAAAAUAAAUAAUUAAUAAUUUACUAUAAAAUACUUGAGUUACAAAUGAACCUUCGUGAGCAAUAAUAAAAGUGUU